GACGGAGGAUGCAAGCGUUAUCCGGAAUGAUUGGGCGUAAAGCGUCCGCAGGUGGCAGUUCAAGUCUGCUGUCAAAGACCGGGGCUUAACUUCGGAAAGGCAGUGGAAACUGAACAGCUAGAGUAUGGUAGGGGCAGAGGGAAUUCCUGGUGUAGCGGUGAAAUGCGUAGAUAUUGGAAAGACCACCGAUGGCGAAGGCACUCUACUGGGCCACUACUGACACUGAGAGACGAAAGCUAGGGGAGCAAAUGGG
rnacentral:rRNA from 1 species